rnacentral:rRNA from 1 species
GCAAGUCGAACGAUGAACCACUUCGGUGGGGAUUAGUGGCGAACGGGUGAGUAACACGUGGGCAAUCUGCCCUGCACUCUGGGACAAGCCCUGGAAACGGGGUCUAAUACCGGAUACUGACCCUCACGGGCAUCUGUGAGGUUCGAAAGCUCCGGCGGUGCAGGAUGAGCCCGCGGCCUAUCAGCUUGUUGGUGAGGUAAUGGCUCACCAAGGCGACGACGGGUAGCCGGCCUGAGAGGGCGACCGGCCACACUGGGACUGAGACACGGCCCAGACUCCUACGGGAGGCAGCAGUGGGGAAUAUUGCACAAUGGGCGAAAGCCUGAUGCAGCGACGCCGCGUGAGGGAUGACGGCCUUCGGGUUGUAAACCUCUUUCAGCAGGGAAGAAGCGAAAGUGACGGUACCUGCAGAAGAAGCGCCGGCUAACUACGUGCCAGCAGCCGCGGUAAUACGUAGGGCGCGAGCGUUGUCCGGAAUUAUUGGGCGUAAAGAGCUCGUAGGCGGCUUGUCACGUCGGUUGUGAAAGCCCGGGGCUUAACCCCGGGUCUGCAGUCGAUACGGGCAGGCUAGAGUUCGGUAGGGGAGAUCGGAAUUCCUGGUGUAGCGGUGAAAUGCGCAGAUAUCAGGAGGAACACCGGUGGCGAAGGCGGAUCUCUGGGCCGAUACUGACGCUGAGGAGCGAAAGCGUGGGGAGCGAAC